UGGAAUGAUGGGAAUUUAAACCUCUUCCAGAGUAUCAAUUGGAGGGCAAGUCUGGUGCCAGCAGCCGCGGUAAUUCCAGCUCCAAUAGCGUAUAUUAAAAUUGUUGCAGUUAAAAAGCUCGUAGUUGAAUUUCUGCUGCAUUGUUUCUUCUCAUGUCGAGUGAUUCAUUGUGGCUUAUUUCGGAUUGUUUUUUACUUUCCGGAUGAUUACUUUGAGAAAAUUAGAGUGCUCAAAGCAGGCUUUUGCCUUGAAUAGUUUAGCAUGGAAUAAUAAAGUAGGACUUUGGUUCUAUUUUGUUGGUUUUAGGUACCAAAGUAAUGGUUAAUAGGAACAGUUGGGGGCAUUCGUAUUUAACUGUCAGAGG
rnacentral:rRNA from 1 species